rnacentral:rRNA from 1 species
AUAUUGGACAAUGGGCGAAAGCCUGAUCCAGCCAUGCCGCGUGUGUGAAGAAGGUCUUCGGAUUGUAAAGCACUUUAAGUUGGGAGGAAGGGCAUUAACCUAAUACGUUAGUGUUUUGACGUUACCGACAGAAUAAGCACCGGCUAACUCUGUGCCAGCAGCCGCGGUAAUACAGAGGGUGCAAGCGCUAAUCGGAAUUACUGGGCGUAAAGCGCGCGUAGGUGGUUUGUUAAGUUGGAUGUGAAAGCCCCGGGCUCAACCUGGGAACUGCAUCCAAAACUGGCAAGCUAGAGUACGGUAGAGGGUGGUGGAAUUUCCUGUGUAGCGGUGAAAUGCGUAGAUAUAGGAAGGAACACCAGUGGCGAAGGCGGCCCCCUGGACAAAGACUGACGCUCAGGUGCGAAAGCGUGGGGAGCAAAC